GACGAACGCUGGCGGCGUGCCUAAUACAUGCAAGUAGAACGCUGAAGGAGGAGCUUGCUUCUCUGGAUGAGUUGCGAACGGGUGAGUAACGCGUAGGUAACCUGCCUGGUAGCGGGGGAUAACUAUUGGAAACGAUAGCUAAUACCGCAUAAGAGUAGAUGUUGCAUGACAUUUGCUUAAAAGGUGCAAUUGCAUCACUACCAGAUGGACCUGCGUUGUAUUAGCUAGUUGGUGAGGUAACGGCUCACCAAGGCGACGAUACAUAGCCGACCUGAGAGGGGGAUCGGCCACACUGGGACGGAGACACGGCCCAGACUCCUACGGGAGGCAGCAGUAGGGAAUCUUCGGCAAUGGACGGAAGUCUGACCGAGCAACGCCGCGGGAGUGAAGAAGGUUUUCGGAUCGUAAAGCUCUGUUGUAAGAGAAGAACGAGUGUGAGAGUGGAAAGUUCACACUGUGACGGUAUCUUACCAGAAAGGGACGGCUAACUACGUG
rnacentral:rRNA from 1 species